rnacentral:rRNA from 1 species
UGGGGAAUUUUGGACAAUGGGCGCAAGCCUGAUCCAGCCAUGCCGCGUGCGGGAAGAAGGCCUUCGGGUUGUAAACCGCUUUUGUCAGGGAAGAAAUCUUCUGAGUUAAUACCUCGGGAGGAUGACGGUACCUGAAGAAUAAGCACCGGCUAACUACGUGCCAGCAGCCGCGGUAAUACGUAGGGUGCAAGCGUUAAUCGGAAUUACUGGGCGUAAAGCGUGCGCAGGCGGUUUUGUAAGACAGAGGUGAAAUCCCCGGGCUCAACCUGGGAACUGCCUUUGUGACUGCAAGGCUUGAGUGCGGCAGAGGGGGAUGGAAUUCCGCGUGUAGCAGUGAAAUGCGUAGAUAUGCGGAGGAACACCGAUGGCGAAGGCAAUCCCCUGGGCCUGCACUGACGCUCAUGCACGAAAGCGUGGGGAGCAAACAGGAUUAGAUACCCUGGUAGUCCACGCCCUAAACGAUGUCAACUGGUUGUUGGGAAGGUUCCUUCUCAGUAACGUAGCUAACGCGUGAAGUUGACCGCCUGGGGAGUACGGCCGCAAGGUUGAAACUUAAAUGAAUUGACGGGGUCAUAGCUGUUU